GCUUCCUCGUCUGGAUGAGUUUCCACUUAAAGGGGUUGUUGCUGAGGCAGAAUUUCGAGAUGAAGGCUAGAGAGAAAUAUGACACUUAGCUUCACAUGAUUUAACUUCGGAGGAAUUUUGGAGGGUCAAGGACAGGAAAUAGAUGAAGGAGGAAGAGUAACUCCAUCAGACCAAUUGUUGUAAAAUAAAGAAUGAAUAAGUCAUAGAUAGACCAAGAAUGGCUCCUACCACAGAACUCAAAAUGUGUUGGGUAAGUGAAUAAAUCAUACCCCAUCUGUACUAACAGACUUACCUUAUUUAUUUUAACAGCUUCAUAGGAGCCUAUUAUGUCAACUUAUAAUUGAAUUAAUCUAUCUUAUGUUGACAGGCCUUAAAGUUGUUGUUUCAGUGUUUCAAGAAGGAAAGUGCCUUAAAAGUCUAAUUUAAAACUCUGACUUUAUAGCUAAGGAGAAUGAAAUUCAGAAGUGAAAGAUGCUACUGAAGGUUAAACAACUACCAAAUGUCAGAGCAUUCACAAACCUUAGUUUUGUGAAUUUUAAAUCCAGUGUUCACACUAUUUACCUGCAUAUACUAUCCCAAAUACCACUAGAGGAAAAAAGUCAC